rnacentral:rRNA from 1 species
UCGGAAUUACUGGGCGUAAAGGGCUCGUAGGUGGCCAACUAAGUCAUACGUGAAAUCCCUCGGCUUAACCGGGGAACUGCGUCUGAUACUGGAUGGCUUGAGGUUGGGAGAGGGAUGCGGAAUUCCAGGUGUAGCGGUGAAAUGCGUAGAUAUCUGGAGGAACACCGGUGGCGAAGGCGGCAUCCUGGACCGGCAUUGACGCUGAUGAGCGAAAGCUAGGGGAGCAAACGGG